rnacentral:lncRNA from 1 species
AUCUUUGGAGCUAACUACAAGCAAAAGAAGCAAAAACAAAAGUGCCAAAACUCGAAGCGAAAAAAUAAAAUUUGUAUACUACCAGCUUACUUCAACAUCUCAUUUUUUGAGGCACUUAAUCAAAUUUUCUACGGCACGAAUUCUACUAGCAUCUGUAUCGGUAACAACUGCAAAAGAAUAUGAAACAAAAUACUGUUAGUUACUUAAUGUAACCUAAAGGAAAGAAGUGAAAGGUUUGAAAAUGAAGGAGAUAACAUACGUGAUAUCUCAACAUUCGAAUUGUGGAAUUUUGUUUGAUUAGUUUCUUUUGAUUGUCUCUUCAUCAGUUAAGCAUCUCAGUAUCCUUCAAACCGUUAUUGCUAAGCGAAUUAAAUAAUUAGUACCUGCCUUUCAUAUGAUUGGAGUUGGAAAAAUAGGCAGCAGAUUGAACUAUCACCACAAGAGUGUCAGGGACCUUUGUAGUUUCUGGAUGCUGUUGUAUAUUGCAGUAAACAAUCCAUCGUAAGAAUAAGAAAUUUGAUAUGCAAUCAAUAAAUUAAAAAGACCACCAUAGAUUUAUGUAAGUUGUAAGUUUACACUUGUAUAUCAAGUUUCCGUCUACCUGAAGCCACAUAUGCAGGAAGAUGUCAUUGAGCUAACUAUGCUAAUUGAUCCCAAGGCUACCAUUUCAUUGUUUCACUUCAACUGGUGUUCAAUGCUACAAAUAUUCUAUCAAUUGUUGUAUCUUCCUAUAAUUCAAGAAGUUUGCAAUAUAUAAAAAGAAAAACUUUCUCUGAAAAGAAUAUUUGGCCACAAAAUGUAAGAAGCAUAACUAACCACUCAGUGCCAUCACACUAGCACAUCAAGCCUCAAUUUUUUUUGAGUUGAACAUCAAUCCUGAAAUUCUUGCACACAUAUUCACUAGUGAAAUAAUUCUCUUCAUCAUGCUUAUUUGCACCCAAACAUAUCAUGCAUUUUGAAAAGUGAAAUGAGGAUAUGACAAAGAUAUUGAUAAUAUGAUCUAUAACACUUGCUCUGGCUAGUCACUGAAAAAGCUUUUACAUUGAUAAGGCAUGUUUAUGCCAUAAAUAAGUCUCUAAAAGUAAAAACCAGAAUUGCUAGCUAAAGUUUAAUCUCUAGGAGUGCUUUACCAUGGCAAAUUAGCUCAAAUCUAUAGGAGUGCUUUACCAUGGGAAAUCAUCUCAAAUCUUUGGUUGAAUAGAGUAAUUAUCUACAACAAUCACCUGAGCAUAGUGCAAAACUUCACGUAAUUUUACUCAUGUUUCUAACCACCUCUGGUACAUAAGGAUGCUAUAGUUUCAAAUAUACAAUAAAAAUGAAGCUUAGAAGUAUGUACCUCAUUCUUCUCAUUUUUUUCUCAUUAGUUUGUCAACUAAUGUGAGAACCAAUAAUUCAGAACCAGCAGUUACCAAACAUCACACAUUGGACUGUGAAUUGUGAUUAUAGCAGUUUAUGAAUAUAAAAAAACUGCUAACUAAUAUCAGGAGCUCAUAUUAAUCUCCUGUAAAAAGAAGGUGUAAAAUCUAAUUCAGAUUUACUUGAUUAAAUAUUAACUAGAGUAUUACAUUAUGAGGAGGCUUCUUUAUAGUACUUGAAAACAAAAGACCCCUCAAUCAUCACAAGAAGGAAAAUAAAAAUUCAAUUCUUAGAUGCCAGACCAUCACUCCCCAAAAUGGACCAAGACCAACUUCCAAAUAAUUCAAAAAAUAAGAACAUAAAUUCAUUGGUUAUUAAACUAGUUGGACAAAGAAAAAGUCCAUUGCAUUGUUUGUCGUACUUCACGAUCUUAAGCACAUAAUCCAUUCAUAGCCAAAAUACAGAAAACCUUAAUCAACUGCAAAUGAUGAAAGAUACCCCAAAUACCACCUAAUACAAAUAUACGAUUUCAUACCAGAGACCUUCCUUUUAAAAAUUACACAUUCAUUUCCCCAAUAAAAUUACUCUUAGAAGGACAAAUUUACGCUUGGACCUUAAAAACAAAGGAAGCCACACAAUAAUUGAACAAAAUAUAACCCUAUAACUGUACUAAUACAUAGAUCCCACAGCAUAUCAAAAACAAUUUCAGGUACGGACUUCUACAUCAGAAAGUAAACAAAGACGAUAUAGAGCAAAAGAAAACAAGAAAGAUCUUAAUAAAGUACGAACCUUUGUUGCCGGGGGAAGAGAGGGAAUUGAGCCCUGCUAAUUUUUGAGUUGAAGAGAGGGAAUUAACUAUACUCUUAGAAAAAGGAGGAAUUUUGCCCGGUU